rnacentral:lncRNA from 1 species
UGGUAUGGAUAGUGACGCUGAAACUUCCCCUUCUUCUGAGCAGGACCACUAGACUAGCCCUUCUUGUCAUCUUGAGAGCGAGACUGAUCAACACCUGAGGAUUUCUGAGUUUUAAUAGUGUACUGCUGCUGCAUCUCCACACCUAGAGCCUGCUCCAAAGUGGUGCGAAAAUCCACCAAUGGAAAGGCCCCCAAAGUGUGCCUGAUCGAUGGUU